rnacentral:rRNA from 1 species
GUAGGUGGCAAGCGUUGUCCGGAAUUAUUGGGCGUAAAGCGCGCGCAGGCGGUUCUUUAAGUCUGAUGUGAAAGCCCACGGCUCAACCGUGGAGGGUCAUUGGAAACUGGAGAACUUGAGUACAGAAGAGGAAAGCGGAAUUCCACGUGUAGCGGUGAAAUGCGUAGAGAUGUGGAGGAACACCAGUGGCGAAGGCGGCUUUCUGGUCUGUAACUGACGCUGAGGCGCGAAAGCGGUGGGGAGACAAACGAGGAUUAGACUACCCGUGGUAGUCCACGACCGUAAACGAUGAGUGCUAAGUGGUUAGGGGGUUUCCCGCCCCCUUAGUGCUGCAGCUAACGCAUUAAGCACUCCGCCGUGGGAGUACGGCCGCAAGGCUG